AGCGAACGCUGGCGGCAGGCCUAACACAUGCAAGUCGAACGAACCUUUCGGGGUUAGUGGCGGACGGGUGAGUAACACGUGGGAACGUGCCUUUAGGUUCGGAAUAACUCAGGGAAACUUGUGCUAAUACCGAAUGUGCCCUUCGGGGGAAAGAUUAAUCGCCUUUAGAGCGGCCCGCGUCUGAUUAGCUAGUUGGUUGAGGUAAUGGCUCACCAAGGCGACGAUCAGUAGCUGGUCUGAGAGGAUGAUCAGCCACAUUGGGACUGAGACACGGCCCAAAAUCCUACGGGAGGCAGCAGUGGGGAAUCUUGCGCAAUGGGCGAAAGCCUGACGCAGCCAGGCCGCGUGAAUGAUGAAGGUCUUAGGAUUGUAAAAUUCUUUCACCGGGGACGAUAAUGACGGUACCCGGAGAAGAAGCCCCGGCUAACUUCGUG
rnacentral:rRNA from 1 species